GACGAACGCUGGCGGCGUGCCUAAUACAUGCAAGUCGAGCGGAUCUUUAGGAGCUUGCUCCUGAAGAUUAGCGGCGGACGGGUGAGUAACACGUGGGCAACCUGCCUGUAAGACUGGGAUAACACCGGGAAACCGGUGCUAAUACCGGAUAAUUCUUUCCUUCACAUGAGGGAAAGCUGAAAGUCGGUUUCGGCUGACACUUACAGAUGGGCCCGCGGCGCAUUAGCUGGUUGGUGAUGUAACGGCUCACCAAGGCGACGGUGCGUAGCCGACCUGAGAGGGUGAUCGGCCACACUGGGACUGAGACACGGCCCAGACCCCUACGGGGGGCAGCAGUAGGGACUCUUCCGAAAUGGACGAAAGUGUGACGGAGCAACGCCGCGUGAGUGAUGAAGGCUUUCGGGUCGUAACUCUGUUGUUAGGGAAGAACAAGUAUCGGAGUAACUGCCGGUACCUUGACGGUACCUAACCAGAAAGCCACGGCUAACUACGUGCCAGCAGCCGCCGUAAAAC
rnacentral:rRNA from 1 species